GUGACCUAUACGCGCACGUUUACCGCGGCCUCCAUUUCUUGUCGCACGUGGCUCUUGCGCGUGUAAGAUGGAGAUCAACGACGUCACCCUCGUACCAAGAAGCCUGGGCCAUCCGGCACGCGCAGAGCGAUGGUACCACCGUCCUUGUAAUGAGAUCAUCGGAGACCGAGAGAAAAAAUCCGGACUCGAUCAUCGGCCACGCAUAUUUCUGCGUACUUUGAAGCACCAGAAACAUAACAGCCCCAUGCAAGAGAGCAAGUGUCGCAACAAACGCAGGGGCAACUCAGAGCGACGCUGCAGAGGACACCGCACAAGAGCAACUGCAGCCCGUGCAAAUCAGCUGUUUGAAUGUUAAUGAGUUGGUGGAGAAGAGCGCGUCUUUGCGGUUGCCUCGACAGUGGAGAUCGGCAGCUCUUGAAGACUAAAUGGACAGCGAUCACAGAUUGUUUUUUACGAGGCAGGAAUGGAGGGAGAGGUAUAUACACAAUAUUGAAGAGUGUCGUAGUUCGCAGUGCCAAUGUAGAGCUCGGAGGGAACGUAAAAAAAGCAAAGCUCGUAUGAAUGGUAAAUGAAGUGAAAAGCAAGGUCUCUGAAAGCGUUUAAAAAGUUUUAAUAAACUGUAAUGUUCUGAUACGUCCACUAAAACAUCUCUGUAAUGUUCUUAUUUUAUAACUCUAAUUUACUAGAGGUAGCAGAGCAAUGUCAGCAUGAUAUCCAUUUAUCAGGUAGCCCUCUAUAUGUGCUUUGAAAACUAAGGAGUCGCUUUAUGGAACCUCUCUAGACGACCCUGGAGGGUGUAUCUAGUCCUUAAUAAAAUCGGGGGAAAUGUUAAA